rnacentral:rRNA from 1 species
CCUACGGGUGGCAGCAGUGGGGAAUAUUGGGCAAUGGGCGCAAGCCUGACCCAGCAACGCCGCGUGAAGGAAGAAGGCUUUCGGGUUGUAAACUUCUUUUAUCAGGGACGAAGCAAGUGACGGUACCUGAUGAAUAAGCCACGGCUAACUACGUGCCAGCAGCCGCGGUAAUACGGAGGUGGCAAGCGUUAUCCGGAUUUACUGGGUGUAAAGGGCGUGUAGGCGGGAGUGCAAGUCAGAUGUGAAAACUAUGGGCUCAACCCAUAGCCUGCAUUUGAAACUGUACUUCUUGAGUGAUGGAGAGGCAAGCGGAAUUCGGGGUGUAGCGGUGAAAUGCGUAGAUAUACGGAGGAACACCAGUGGCGAAGGCGGAUUGCUGGACAGUAACUGACGCUGAGGCGCGAAAGCGUGGGGAGCAAACAGGAUUAGAUACCCGAGUAGUC